rnacentral:rRNA from 1 species
AUUGAACGCUGGCGGCAGGCCUAACACAUGCAAGUCGAACGAGUGGCGGACGGGUGCGUCAUUUCUGGGCAACUGCCUGAUGGAGGGGGAUAACUACUGGAAACGGUAGCUAAUACCGCAUACAAUCAGAUUGUCCCCGAUGGGAUUAGCUUGUUGUAGGGGUAAAGGUGCACCAAGGCGCCGAUCCCUAGCUGGUCUGAGAGGAGGACCAUCCACACUGGAACUGAGACACGGUCCAGACUCCUACGGGAGGCAGCAGUGGGGAAUAUUGCACAAGGGGCGCAAGCCUGAUGCAGCCAUGCCGCGUGUAUGAAGAAGGCCUUCGGGUUGUAAAGUACUUUCAGCGGGGAGGCGUUACCCGCAGAAGAAGCACCGGCUAACUCCGUGCCAGCAGCCGCGGUAAUUC